rnacentral:lncRNA from 13 species
CGUCGCGCCCAAUUAAUCAGAGCUGCAUCCAUGCUGGAUGGACCCCUACCUCCAGGAGGGGGGUGGGGUGGGAGCCUGGGGUGAAGGGGUGUAAGAGAAAGAGAGUGCGGAGUGGAGAGUAUGUUUGAGAGAGAGAGAGAAAGAGAGAGAGAGAGAGAGAGAGAGAGAGAGAGAGAGAGAGAGAGAGAGUUGUCAGUGCUGGGUUGAUUCCAGACUCACAGUCAGAACUACAAUCAUGUGCGCCCUUCUCUGGCCCGCUGCUCUCGUCCUCUUCCAGAGUGCCCUCUGUGUUCCAGGAUGGAUCAGCCUGGCUCUCUUUCUCUCUCUGCUGGGCUUCUCUUUCCAGGCACAGGAUCAGUUUUCAGCACCACCUGCGUAGCUGAGCGCCUCUAUGUUUACUCCCCGUAGCUCCUAGCACACCUGGACUCAGGCUACCCCACCCCCUUUGAUCUCUCCUCUCUGCUUUUACUUCCCUCCUGUUGUCCCCUGAGUGGCUGGAUGUUGCUUCUCCUGUUUCACCAAGUUCUCGUUCUUCAUUUUCAUUUUCCUGACCAAUAACGUGUCACCUGUGAGUGUAUUUGAGUUGAUGGUUGGGGUGGGGGGGGCAAUACAUUCAAAUGUGUGUGUUUGUGUGUUGCAGGUGUGUUUCGGGUGUGUGUGGCAUCCAUGUGUGUGUGGAUCUGGCAUGCAUGUGUGUAUGAGCACAGUAUGUAUAUGUGAGCAGUGUGUGUGGCACACAGUGCUGCGUGGAGGCCGGUUGAGUCACGGCGUGGUGCGGUGCAGAGCGAAGAGGGGAGACAGCUGCCCUGACAGAUGCCGGGAGGCAGAACCCCACUGGGGAGCAGGGGGAGGGAGCUGGCACUCUCUCACCCCAACGGAAACACCACAGGCUGCAGAGGAAGUGGGCAGGGGGACAAACCAGGGGACCCAGAGAGAGAGAGAGAGAGAGAGAGAGCAUAAUAUAUAGCCAGCCUAACUCCCAGGUGUAUAUGAGAGGCGAGCAGAAGCACGGAGGUAAAACACACUGGGGAGAGACCAGAGGGACAACAAGCUCUACCUUUUCUCACAUCCAAGAUGGCCGCCCUGACUCUACAGCCCAUACUAGACGAAGACGAACAGAGAGUGGGCAGUGUUAUAGACAGCCUCAAUAGUACAUGGCCCAUAGGACUCUACCAAAACAAUGAAAGGGGAAUGUGAAACACACGCAGAUUUCAUUACACAGGACAAAGGAACAGGGACUAUCCAUACACGCUGGAUUGACUGUUUUGUCCAACAAACAAAAAAAAAACAUGCCUCACAUGAUUAGAGUGAGAAAUUAAUUGAACAGUUGGUUGAAUGUUAUGGUCAUGUGUCCCACACUUGACCAACUCCAACCCUGCUCUCGUCUGUGACCUGUCAUCUCUCUGUUGCAUAUUAACAUCACUGAAAUACAAAUGUUUAUGUACACGCACAGACGGUAGUCUCUGAAUAUUUAAUCACAUUUUGCAACUAAGUUUCCCUAUAUGUGUGAUAACUGACACGUUUGCAGUAUAAUUGUGUUAUACCUUUCUCUCUCUCUCUCCAUCUCUCUCUUUCUCUCUCUCUUUCUGUCUCUCUCUCUCCUCUCUCUCUCUCUCUCUCUCUCCAUCUCUCUCUGUCUCUCUCUCUCCAUCUCUCUCUUUCUGUCUCUCGCCGCAGUGCCCGUCACUAUGCCAGCAGACUGGCGCUUCAGGGCGCUGGACUGCACGGGCGGCAGGUGACACGGAUUUCAAUAAAAGGGAUUAUAGAUGUGGGGACUGCGGAGAGGAACACACACACACACACACACACACACAGGCUUCCUCGGUAAUGUACACACACGGAUACAUGUGUAUACUGUAGAUACAUGCUCAUAUGAAUGAUCACACCAUUUGUCAUUUAUGCAUACUGUGCAUUCACAUACCGCACAAACGAUGGCGUUCUAGGGAGAGAAACGCUGAAGAAUCCUUGGAGACAAUUAGAUAUUGUGCCCAUAAUGACGCUUCACCAAAACACAGGAGGUUGGUGGCACCUUAAUUGGGGAGGACGGGCUCGUGGUAAUGGCUGGGGCGGCAAAUGUGGAAUGGUAUCAAAUACGUCAAAGACACGUGUUUGAUGCUAUUCCAUUUCACUCCGUUCCAGCCAUUAUUAUGAGCCGUCCUCCCCUCACCAGCCUCCGCUGCAUCAAAAAUAUCAGCAACUGCAUCCCAUUGCCACUAAAUCAAACUUCAACUAAGAAUCCUUCUCACCAUGUUCCGCUCUUGGACCUCUGAUCAUGAGGCCGGUAGUCUACCUUGACGAAAAAGCCUCACCUGAUCGAGUAUGUUGGCAAAGUUCACAAUAGAAUCUGCCGUCCAUGGGAGUAUUAACAGUGUGCAGGUAACGUCUGUUCAUUUAUGUAAUGGUACAGACAGUCAUUCCCCUUCACUCUGUCCUAAGGGCAGUGUGUCUGGGCAGAGUGGUCAGGGUAGCAGGGUCUCAGUGGGUGGACGGCGGGAGAGAGCCGGACGGAGGGGCAUGGCGUGACCUGCCACAGCCUCCGAGGACAGCCAGCCCUUCGCUGACAUAAUGAGGCCGGUAAACAAGCAUCUGUCAUCCCCACCUACAAGGAGAGGAGAGGAAGAGAACACUCACCCAGACACAGCUCCCUAUACCGCUCUUUAUUACCCACUGUUGUCUUCUUCCUCUCCUUCUCCCUCUCUCUCUCUCUCUGUCUAAAUUCCCUUCUUUCUCCAUCUCUCCAACCCUUUCUGUCAACUGAGCCAUUGCCAUGGUCCACCGCCCACUGAUAUCAAAUCAACACGUCGGCAACUGGUCAAACUGGGAGAUAUUAUUGGAGACACGUCCUCUGGAAACAAUGACAGCAUCUGACACAGGACUGAGUUGAGUGAGUGGCAUGUCACAUAGAGCUCUUUUGAUCGUUUUCAAAAGAAAUCUAUGAAGCAAAAAGCUCCAAACGUAUUCUUUGUCCUUUACCUCUCUGUCCAGAAUGACUGUGGAGGAAUAGAAAAACAGAGAGGGGUUAGAGGAGGGGACUGAGUGGGAGAGGGAGAGAGAGAAAGCUGGGGGGAGAAAAGCUUGGGGCAAUCUCAAGGGACUCGUGUCUUCUGCAGAAGGAAGGCGUGUUGACGAAACACAGCAGCGCCCAGCUUGAGGUCACCUCCCUGUGGCAUCUCUGUCAGAGCCAAUCCCCCCCAGCCCCCCACUGCCUUUACACAUGCACACACACUGGGCAAUACACACACCGCACACACACACCACGCAAUACACACACCACACACACACACACAGGGCAAAGACAGACAGGGGCUACCUCAUUCCAGAAUCCCCAUUCCACUGCCAUUCCACUUGCCUUGGUGUAGUGGACCUGGAUACAGAGAGAGUAUAAGGGAGACCCAGGGACUAAAAACCUAAUUUGCAAAGAGGCUGAUUGAUUCUCACAUAUCAGUACAGUCAUUUCCAUGUCAUUUGGGGGAGAAAAAAAGGCUGAACCUCAGAUCUUUAAAAAAAAAAAAAAAACCUGCCAGAAGAUUUUUUUUGUACCGCUACUGAGCAGGUAAGGAAAAUAACACAAGGCAGAGACUGAUCACGUCUUCUAAACACUGAGGACGAAUUCCCAGCACAGCAUACACUGCACGCUGCAGAGGACAGCUAGAAGUCAAGCCCAUUCCUGUUUAUGUCCCUCCUGAUGCUAGAACACUGUCCCCAAAGUGACUAAAGGCCAUCCUAGCAAGGGGACAAGUGAGGCAGAGAGAGGAGAGAGGGUCAGUGAGGGGGAGAACAGAGAGAGAGAGAGAGCGAGAGAGAGAGAGAAAGAGGGAGACAUGCUGCAGAGAGAGGGGGGAGGGAGACAUGCUGUAGAGAGGGAGAGUGGGGAGGCACAUUGGCAGCCAACCAGAACAGCCAUGGGGCACCAGCGUUAGGCCGCAGUUGCAGCCACCACCGCAAAGAUCAGCCCACGUAAGGGGCUUUUUUCCCCUUCUCCACCACGGCUGUGUGAGUCGCACAGAAACCAGGGAUUGGCAGAGAUGAGAUCAGGUUUUCCCGUUGGACAGUAGCCCGGGAGAGUGAGGCAGGCCGAGUGAGAGAAGGACAGAAAAAAAGAGAGAGAGGCAGAGAAAGCAGGGGAGGGAUUGAAACUGUGAGAGAGAGAGAGAGAGAGAGAGAGAGAGAAAGAGAAAGAGAGCAAGCGAGGGGGAGAAUUGCGUCUCGGCAGGGCAUAAUUGGCAGUCUUUGUCGAAAGGGGCCCUUGAUUUAAUAGGCCCGGCUGGUGACUGAACCACUGGAGUGCGGAAAUGUGCUGGUGCCUGGAGCCCUCCGGCCGGCCACCCCUCCCCCUCGGUCUCCGAGGACAACUGACUCACAGCCUGACUGCCUGACUGCCUGCCCCGAGCCACACCGCAUACCUCACACCGUACAGCCCAGCACACUAUACUGCACGCUCUCACACAGAGAGCACACUAAACUGCACACACACACACGUAUAUCCACACACACUCUCACAUAGCGAACUGUGCUACACAUCACACACACUGCACAUCACCCUGCAGAGUGUGAAUUAUACCUCUAUUGAGUGAAAGGUUUUUAUGGGCCUACAAAUGAAUACGUCAUUUAAAGGUAAAAAUGUAUUACAUUUUAAUGUGGCAUGAACACAGUCAGUCACGAUGUCUUCAUCUGAUUGUCAAACGAAUCACUUCCAAGUGUGGCUACCUGCGCACAUUUGUCCACUCCAAAAAGAACUCCAGCAUCCAAACAGCCAUUGGAUGAAUCUGUUUCAAACACCUUCAAGGUGUAAUGACAUUAGGCCUAUACAGUGGUGUGUGUUCACAGAUGCCAAAGGAAGCCAUGCUUCCCCAAACAUUUUAGUCAUAAAAACAGAAGCAAAACAAUGACAUCCUUUUUCUUUCUUUUGUCUCUCCAUGUUUCAUCAUUUUCCUUCAAUCCUCAAGUAGCUGAAUCUAUCUUACCGGAGAAAGCAUUUGAGGGAGCUACACAUUGUCUGCACACACUGAGAUUUGCACUGUUUCGCUCGCUCGGAUGCUUUCGGCAGUGACGUUGAUGCGUCUUGCGUGUGCAUCUAGGUCAAAUUAUCGAUAUUUAGAGACCCCCCCCCCCUCCAAAGUUGUAUUUUUGUUGCCUUUAGGAGAGCNNNNNNNNNNGUUAGAAGUAGUGGUAAAGGUAGUGGUAGUGGUAAAGGUAGUGAUCGAGGUAGAGGUAGAGGUAGUGGUAGAGGUAGAGGUAGUAAUAGAGGUAGUGAUAGAUGCAGUGGUCGUGGUAGUGUUAGAGGUAGCGGUAGAGGUACAGUAGUGGUAGAGGUACAGUAAUGGUAGAGGUACAGUAGAGGUACAGUAGUGAUAGAGGUAGAGGUACAGUAGUGAUAGAGGUAGAGGUACAGUAGUGAUAGAGGUAGAGGUACAGUAGUGGUAGAGGUACAGUAGUGGUAGAGGUACAGUAGUGGUAGAGGUACAGUAGUGAUAGAGGUAGUGGUGGUGGUAGUGGUAGAGGUAGUGAUCGAGGUAGAGUAGUGAUAGUGGUAGAGGUAGUGAGAGGUAGUGAUAGUGGUAGAGGUACAGUAGUGGUAGUGAUAAAGGUAGAGGUACAGUAGUGGUAGAGGUACAGUAGUGAUAGAGGUAGAGGUACAGUAGUGAUAGAGGUAGAGGUACAGUAGCGAUAGAGGUAGAGGUACAGUAGUGAUAGAGGUAGAGGUACAGUAGUGAUAGAGGUAGAGGUACAGUAGUGAUAGAGGUAGAGGUACAGUAGUGUUAGAGGUAGAGGUUG